rnacentral:lncRNA from 10 species
AGGCACUUGCUACCAGCAAGCAAAGCUGGUCCUGAACACAGCUGUCCCAGAUCGGCUGCCUGCCAGGGAAAGGGAGAUGGAUGUCAUCAGGAAUUUCUUGAGGGAACACAUCUGUGGGAAAAAAGCUGGAAGCCUUUACCUUUCUGGUGCUCCUGGAACUGGAAAAACUGCCUGCUUAAGCCGGAUUCUGCAAGACCUCAAGGUAUCUAGAGAUCAGGUUCUGGACAAUGCUGCAGUUCAAUUCUGUGCCCGCAAAGUCUCUGCUGUUUCAGGAGAUGUUCGCAAAGCACUGGAUGUUUGCAGGUGAGUUACGGCUCUGUUGCAUUCUUUUAUUAAAAAAAAAAAAAAAGAAA